UACGUAGGCAGCGAGCGUUGUUCGGAGUUACUGGGCGUAAAGGGUGUGUAGGCGGUUGUUUAAGUUUGGUGUGAAAUCUCCCGGCUCAACUGGGAGGGUGCGCCGAAUACUGAAUGACUUCGAGUGCGGGAGAGGAGAGUGGAAUUCCUGGUGUAGUGGUGAAAUGCGUAGAUAUCGGGAGGAACACCAGUGGCGAAGGCGACUAUCUGGGCUGCAACUGACGCUGAGGCGCGAAGGCUAGGGUAGCAAACAGG
rnacentral:rRNA from 1 species